CCUACGGGGGGCAGCAGUGAGGAAUAUUGGUCAAUGGGCGAGAGCCUGAACCAGCCAAGUCGCGUGAAGGAUGACUGUCUUAUGGAUUGUAAACUUCUUUUAUACGGGAAUAACAAGAGUCACGUGUGGCUCCCUGCAUGUACCGUAUGAAUAAGCAUCGGCUAACUCCGUGCCAGCAGCCGCGGUAAUACGGAGGAUGCGAGCGUUAUCCGGAUUUAUUGGGUUUAAAGGGUGCGUAGGCGGCCUGUUAAGUAAGCGGUGAAAUCUAGGAGCUUAACUCCUAAAUUGCCAUUGAUACUGGCGGGCUUGAGUGUAGAUGAGGUAGGCGGAAUGCGUGGUGUAGCGGUGGAAUGCAUAGAUAUCACGCAGAACUCCGAUUGCGAAGGCAGCUUACUAAGGUACAACUGACGCUGAAGCACGAAAGCGUGGGUAUCAAACAGGAUUAGAUACCCUAGUAGUC
rnacentral:rRNA from 1 species